rnacentral:rRNA from 1 species
AUUGAACGCUGGCGGCAUGCCUUACACAUGCAAGUCGAACGGUAACGCGGGGCAACCUGGCGACGAGUGGCGAACGGGUGAGUAAUACAUCGGAACGUGCCCAGUAAUGGGGGAUAGCCCGGCGAAAGCCGGAUUAAUACCGCAUACGACCUAAGGGUGAAAGAGGGGGAUCGCAAGACCUCUCGUUAUUGGAGCGGCCGAUGGCAGAUUAGGUAGUUGGUGGGGUAAAGGCCUACCAAGCCGACGAUCUGUAGCUGGUCUGAGCGGACGACCAGCCACACUGGGACUGAGACACGGCCCAGACUCCUACGGGAGGCAGCAGUGGGGAAUGUGGGACAAUGGACGCAAGUCUGAUCCAGCAAUGCCGCGUGCGGGAAGAAGGCCUUCGGGUUGUAAACCGCUUUUGUCAGGGAAGAAAUCUUCUGGGUUAAUACCUCGGGAGGAUGACGGUACUUGAAGAAUAAGCACCGGCUAACUACGUGCCAGCCGCCGCCGUAACAC